AUGAUUUGACACUAGCUGCUGCAAAGAAUUAAUGUAACCAUCACAUUACAACAAAGAACAAAUGACAUUAUUAUUUUUGGUUCAAAUAACAGAGGAGUUCUCGGAAAUUAAAUCUUUCAAGACUAAGCCCAUUGUAUAACUAUUGAUCUACAUUAAUUAAGCUGAUGCGUUUUUCAUAAUUUACUUUCCUACAAACAUUUUUAGAAGUCGAAUCGUGAUAAUGCAUAACCUUGAAGGAAAAAAACAAAUGACAUGAGAGUAUUUUUCUUCUCUUUUUGCUCAAGAAUUGAAUAAUGCACAUCACCGUUUAAUCAAGAAAAGGUUCACAUAAUUAAGAAUACGAGUACAAUAUGAUUAGUGUAAUUUUGAGUAUUUCACAUUGAAAUUAAAUAAGACUAUGAGUUUUAAGACCUGAAAGAUUUAUUUAAAUGACCAAACUAAUAGGGCAUCACUCUCCAUGAGUUAAAUAUGAACCAUUGUUGUUUAAUGACAAAAUAAUCUUACAUUUUAAUCGUAUUUUAUUUGUGGGCUUUUAUAAUAGCUUUUGUAUGCUCUUGAAUUAUGAUUCGAUACUAGUUAUAUGUGCUGUAAUUAAGAUAUAUGUCCAUUCUUAUUAUAUAUAUAAACACACCUUUUAACCAUAUUUUGAUUCUAAAGAAGCAUACAGACACACAAAUAUAACAAAAUCUUUCUCUUUUUCUUUUCAAUUUUGGUUUUGCGACCAGUUUAUAAUCAAUAAUCUUAAAAAAAGCUUAUUGUCAGGAAGAAACAAGCAAACAUGAGAAAUACAACUGCUCUCUGAUCUUUCCCCUUGGUUCUUCUUGUUCUUCUUCUUCUUCUUCUUCUUCUAUGAUCAUCUUGUGGGAUUCUGAAGAGCAUAAACAUGAGAACUUGUGAACCAUUAGUUUUUUGCUUCCAAAAAAAAAAAGGGAUUGGCAUCUUCGCAUCAGUAAAUCUGACUGCCAAAAGAAGAAAAAUCUAGUGGAAGGUCUGCAACUAGUCAACUAUAUAUAUAAUGAAUCUAGUAGUACACUUGAUCCACACAAGACUUGAUGAAUCGAAUUAUUCAAUUGAUGUAGAUAAAUCAUAGAAUUAUACGAGCACACAUGAAAGUCGAAGAUGAUCCUUCAUAGGCCCUUGUCAAGAAAAAUGCAAAUCCAAAAGAAUUGCAAAUCCUAAAGAAUCACACAUAAAAUGAUCUUAUUAUGGAGUGCUUAUUAAAUCAUGUUUUAGGCUAUUUAAUACUUAAAGAUAAGAACCUCUGGUAAAUAGAAUUUAACAGAUCUGAGCGUAAUUAUAUUUGUAUAUCAUUUAUAAUAACUAUAUGAUCAGAUUCGUGAUCCAGGCUCAACCUUUAAAGCAAGAAAAGAAAUUUGAUGAACUUUUGUACUGAUAACGAUCAAAACCAUCAUACUAAACUGAUCACCUCGAGAACUUCAGCCCAAUUCGUCCUGUUUUGUGCCUGGAACUAAUAUCCUUUGCUCAGCUUUACACACUCCUUCACGGAAAAACACACCAUUAAUAUACCAAAAAUCAAAACACCAAUGAUUUGGAUGGCCCUUCUCUCACAAAGCAUUUCCUUGAUACCUGCUGAGCAUAUUUCCGUAAUUUAGGACAGGAAUCAUCACUUUAGUUCUAUUCUAAAAAACAUGUAGUAACAGAAAGGAGGCUGAGUGCACUUGUCCCAAGUAGCUAGCUAAUCCCUUUUAGUGUGACAGUUUAAGAAGUUUGCAAUCAAUUAAACUUUGGGAAUUUAAAUCAAGACAUUAGUUUAUUCUUUGUGGAGAGCUAAUAUGAUACAUGAAAAAAAGAGAGAGA